AAGGAAUAUUGGUCAAUGGACGAAAGUCUGAACCAGCCAUGCCGCGUGGAGGAUGAAGGUCCUCUGGAUUGUAAACUUCUUUUAUAUGGGACGAAAAGAGGCUUUUCUAAGCCGCCUGACGGUACCAUAUGAAUAAGCACCGGCUAACUCCGUGCCAGCAGCCGCGGUAAUACGGAGGGUGCAAGCGUUAUCCGGAUUCACUGGGUUUAAAGGGUGCGUAGGUGGGUUGGUAAGUCAGUGGUGAAAUCUCCGGGCUUAACUCGGAAACUGCCAUUGAUACUAUCAGUCUUGAAUAUUGUGGAGGUUAGCGGAAUAUGUCAUGUAGCGGUGAAAUGCUUAGAUAUGACAUAGAACACCAAUUGCGAAGGCAGCUGGCUACACAUAUAUUGACACUGAGGCACGAAAGCGUGGGGAUCAAAC
rnacentral:rRNA from 1 species